CUAGUUGGUGGGGUAAGAGCUCACCAAGGCGACGAUCGGUAGCUGGUCUGAGAGGACGAUCAGCCACACUGGGAUUGAGAACGGCCCAGACUCCUACGGGGGGCAGCAGUGAGGAAUUUUCCGCAAUGGUCGCAAGACUGACGGAGCAACGCCGCGUGCAGGAGGACGCUUUUCGGAGUGUAAACUGCUUUUCUGUGGGAAGAGCAAGGACGGUACCACAGGAAGAAGCCCCGGCUAACUACGUGCCAGCAGCCGCGGUAAUACGUAGGGGGCGAGCGUUAUCCGGAGUUACUGGGCGUAAAGGGCACGCAGGCGGUGCGGCGCGUUUCGCGUGACAGCGGAGGGCUUACCUCUCCGAGGAUGCGAAAGACGGCCGCACUUGAGGGCCAGAGAGGGACACGGAAUUCCGGGUGGAGUGGUGAAAUGCGUAGAGAUCCGGAGGAACACCGAAGGCGAAGGCAGUGUCCUGGCUGGUGACUGACGCUGAGGUGCGAAAGCUAGGGGAGCGAACGGGAUUAGAUACCCCGGUAGUCCUAGCCGUAAACGAUGACCACCAGGUGUGGGAGGUAUCGACCCCUUCCGUGCCGGAGUUAACACACUAAGUGGUCCGCCUGGGGAGUACGGUCGCAAGAUUAAAACUCAAAGGAAUUGACG
rnacentral:rRNA from 1 species